rnacentral:lncRNA from 10 species
GGAGAGAAUAUGUAUCUUAGUCUAAGUUCUGCCAGUUUUUGUGAAUUAAGACAAAUCAUUUAGAGAUAUCUAAAGGUUUAUACUUCAGUUUCCUACUGUGUAAUAACACUGCUCUUGUUAUUUCAUAUCAUUGUUAUCAAAAUAAGGGCAUAAUUAUGAAAGUUCUUUGAAAAACUAAUAAUCCCUAUACAGAUACAGGACUUAUAGUCUAGAUAUAAAAGUAUAUUAUACUUCCAGGGACAUAAAAUGGACAUGAGGGAAACCAUUGCAUUUGGUUUUCUAUUCUAUAUAUACAGACACACAUUUUAGUAUAUGCAUAAUGUGAGGCUAGGCACUUCUGGGAGUGUCAUGAUGGGUGGGACAUGUGGUUCUAGUCCCAAAAGCUUACCAUUGUAUAGAGACAAACAAGUAGAGAGAUGAGACCUAAGAAGGCUGUGGAGGAGAAGGUCAGAGAACAAAGACACACACACACACACACACACACACACACACACACACACACACGAAGUUUGAAAAGAGAAAAUGGUUUUACAUUAAUGGAUCAUCAACCUAGAGUAGUUUCCCCAUAUCUGUGAAGGAUUAUUUUUUUUUCAGAUGAAGUCUUGCUCUGUUGCCCAGGCUGGAGUGCAGUGGUGCGAUCUCAGCUCACUGCAACCUCUGCCUCCUGUGUACAAGCAAUUCUCCUGCCUCAGCCUCCCGCGUAGCUAGGAUUACAGGUGUGUGCCACCACGUCUUCUAAUUUUUGUAUUUUUAGUAGAUACGGGGUUUCACCAUGUUGGCCAAGCUGGUCUCGAACUCCUGACCUCAAGUGAUCUGCCCACCUUGGCCUCCCAAAGUGCUGGGAUUACAGGCGUGAGCCACCACGUCUGGCCAGGGGAGGAUAUGCUUUAAGACUCACAGUGCUGAGUGCCUGGAAACACAAAUAAUACAGAACUCUAUGUAUGCUGGUUUUUUUCCUAUACAUAGAUACUUAUGAUAACGUUUAAUUUAUAAAUAAAGCACAGUAAGCAAUUAACAACAAUACUAAUAAUGAAGAACAAUUAUAACAACAUACUAGCAUCAAUAUUCUUGCAGCCAUCAUUAAAUAAAAUAAAGGUUCCUUGAACACAAACACUGUGAUACCAUCAUGAUUGAUCUGACAAUCAGGAAAACCACUAAAUGUUCAGAUAGGCUGGUGACAUAUGCAGAGUGAAUAUGCUGAACAAAGGGGUGAUUUAUGUUCUAAGCAGAACAGAGCAGGGUGACCCAAAAUUUCAUCACACUACUCAGAAGGGCAUGCAAUUUAAACUUAUGAAUUGUUUAUUGCUAGGAUUUUUCGUUUAAUAUUUUUUGACUAGGGUAACAAGCAAAACCGUGUGUAAGAGGGAUUAUUGUUUAAGAACCUUCCUUUUUCUUCCAGUCUCUUGUAAUUCUGACUUCUUACAUAUCUCAGUAGUGCUAAGGCAAAGAGAUUGUCACUAUUCUUAGUACCUUAUUUAAUAUAAACCAAGCCUAAUUAUAAUCAGGACUUAAAAUAAAGCUCUAUAUUGGCAACCAAAGUAAAUUUUGAAUUAUUGAAAAUUCAGUAUUGUACUCUAUUCUCUCUGAAAAUAAUUGAUCUUUUCAUGUGCAUUUGUGUUUUGUUUCAAUUUCUAAUUGAAGUUGCUAAUGCGUAAUGACAUUUAAUUAAUAUUUGAUUGUAAAAAGCAUUUUAACAGUACAUACUAUAGAAGAAAUUAUAUAAAUUUAACGAAGAAAACUUAGCACAAUAAAUUCAAAUUUUUCUUUUUCUCUUUCUUUAUUUUUUCCUUAUUAUUACUAUUAUUAUUUUGAGACAGGGUCUCCCUCUGUCACUUAGCCUGGAGUGCACUGGUACGAUCUUGGUUCACAGCAACCUCCGCCUCCCAGGCUCAAGUAAUCAUCUCGCAUCAGCCUCCUGAGCAGCUGGGACCACAGGCAUGCACCACCACAUCUGGCUAAUUUUUUUUUUUAUUUCUUUUGUAGAGAUGGGGUUUGACCUUGUUGUCCAGGCUGGUUUCAAACUCCUGAGUUCGAGCAAUCUACCCACCCUUCAAAGUGUUGGGAUCACAGGUGACUCUUAGAAUCAUCUAGUCAAAAUGGAAUUGUGACUAUAUUUUACCAUUACAAUAUAGAUGGAGAUUUUCAUCUAUUAAUAAAAGAUGUUCUCUAUUCACAAAUGGAAAUGGAGCAACAGUACACAAUUUCUGCCCCAGAAUUCAUGGCUGGUGCAGGUAAAAAGCUCUUUACAGUUUGCUAGUCAAUCCAUUUGCUUUACCUAAAAAGUUCAUUUAUAUAGUUUUAAAUGGUUUGCAGAAGUCUUUUGAACAGUACUCUUGAAGUUUCAUGUCUUUUCCUCAAAACUUGACAGUCUUGGGAGUGACAAAAAGGGAGAAAAUAUACAAACAUAUGUGAUAUAUUCAUAGCUGGACUUAAACAAUGAUAAAAGAAAAUUUUCAUGUUACAGCCUACUUCCAGUAGAAUUUUACAAUCCUACUAUCUAGUAGGAAUCAUUUCCUCUGAGUGGUGUUCUCACUCUGAGCAAAUCAUUUCUUAAGUAGCAAAUUCUCCUCACAAUUUGAUGUAUAUCAGUUUAACCGAAAGACUUUUCAGAAACCUAAUAUGUAGCAAAGCUCACAAGGUCUUUAGAACAUGACACAUCAAAAAAGAUGAAGGUAGAAAUAACAAAAAUGUGCCCUUAGGACUUAAGUUGGAUGGGAUCCCCUUUCUCUGGCAUGGAGUCUAGGUAUCUGGAGAGUACCUUUUUUUUUUUUUUUUUUAAGUGCUC